rnacentral:rRNA from 1 species
GAUGAACGCUAGCGGCAGGCUUAAUACAUGCAAGUCGAGGGGCAGCGCAGUGUAGCAAUACAUGGGCGGCGACCGGCAAACGGGUGCGGAACACGUACGCAACCUUCCUUUAAGUGGGGGAUAGCCCAGGGAAACUUGGAUUAAUACCCCGUAAUAUUAUGAAGUGGCAUCACUUUAUACUUAUAGCUCCGGCGCUUAAAGAUGGGCGUGCGACUGAUUAGGUAGUUGGCGGGGUAACGGCCCACCAAGCCUGCGAUCAGUAACUGGUGUGAGAGCACGACCAGUCACACGGGCACUGAGACACGGGCCCGACUCCUACGGAAGGCAGCAGUAAGGAAUAUUGGUCAAUGGACGCAAGUCUGAACCAGCCAUGCCGCGUGGAGGAUGAAGGACCUCUGGAUUGUAAACUUCUUUUAUUUGGGAAGAAACCCACUGUUUCUACGGUGGUUGACGGUACCAGAUGAAUAAGCACCGGCUAACUCCGUGCCAGCCGCCGCAGUAAUAC